rnacentral:tRNA from 1 species
ACCACCUUAGUAUAACAGUACGAGUGACCUCCAAUCACCAAGUUUUAGAUACAUCUAAAAAGUGGUA